UACGUAGGGUGCGAGCGUUGUCCGGAAUUAUUGGGCGUAAAGAGCUUGUAGGUGGCUUGUCGCGUCUGCCGUGAAAACCCGAGGCUCAACCUCGGGCGUGCGGUGGGUACGGGCAGGCUAGAGUGUGGUAGGGGAGACUGGAAUUCCUGGUGUAGCGGUAAAAUGCGCAGAUAUCAGGAGGAACACCGGUGGCGAAGGCGGGUCUCUGGGCUGUAACUGACACUGAGGCACGAAAGCGUGGGGAGCAAACAGGAUUAGAUACUCGUGUAGUCCCU
rnacentral:rRNA from 1 species